rnacentral:rRNA from 1 species
GUAACGGAGGCGUCCCAAGGUUCCCUCAGAAUGGUUGGAAAUCAUUCGAAGAGUGCAAAGGCAGAAGGGAGCUUGACUGCGAGACCUACAAGUCGAGCAGGGACGAAAGUCGGGCUUAGUGAUCCGGUGGUACCGCAUGGAAGGGCCAUCGCUCAACGGAUAAAAGCUACCCUGGGGAUAACAGGCUUAUCUCCCCCAAGAGUCCACAUCGACGGGGAGGUUUGGCACCUCGAUGUCGGCUCAUCGCAUCCUGGGGCUGAAGUAGGUCCCAAGGGUUGGGCUGUUCGCCCAUUAAAGCGGUACGCGAGCUGGGUUCAGAACGUCGUGAGACAGUUCGGUCCCUAUCUGUCGUGGGCGCAGGAAAUUUGAGAGGAGCUGUCCUUAGUACGAGAGGACCGGGAUGGACGUACCGCUGGUGCACCAGUUGUUCCGCCAGGAGCAUGGCUGGGUAGCUACGUACGGACGGGAUAAGCGCUGAAAGCAUCUAAGCGUGAAGCCCCCCUCAAGAUGAGAUUUCCCAAUUAGUAAGACCCCUUGAAGACGACGAGGUAGAUAGGUUGGAGGUGGAAGUGCAGCAAUGCAUGGAGCUGACCAAUACUAAUCGGUCGAGGGCUUAUCCAA